UAAGAAUCUUCCGCAAUGGACGAAAGUCUGACGGAGCGACGCCGCGUGGAUGAUGAAGGCCGAAAGGUUGUAAAAUCCUUUUUUCAGUGAAGAAUAAUGGUGGGAGGAAAUGCCCAUCAGAUGACAUUAACUGAGGAAUAAGCCCCGGCUAAUUACGUGCCAGCAGCCGCGGUAACACGUAUGGGGCAAGCGUUGUUCGGAAUUAUUGGGCGUAAAGGGUGCGCAGGCUGUGCUAUAAGUCAGGUGUUAAAGGUUGGAGCUCAACUCCAACAUGCCGCUUGAAACUGUAGUACUUGAGUUCUAGAGGGGAAGCUGGAAUUCCUGGUGUAGGGGUGAAAUCUGUAGAUAUCAGGAAGAACACCGGUGGCGAAGGCGAGCUUCUGGCUAUAAACUGACGCUGAGGCACGAAAGUAUGGGGAGCAAAC
rnacentral:rRNA from 1 species